GGGAUAAGCUAGGAGGAGAAGUAAACAGUGAAGACCAACCAGUUGGGGACUUCCUCCAGUGAGCAGGCUCCAAAGAGAAAAUUUUAAGAGACAAAUUUGUGGACAGCUUAUCGUUAGUCAUUUAGAGAUUGUUGGUGGGGAAUUAGAUCACCCAAGGCAUUUAACCCACGACCCCCAAAACUACUGUAAAGAAAAACAGCACAUCGCUGAACUUGCUCUCUGAGAAGCUGAAACUAUAGGCCCGAGGUCGACGUCAUUUUUAGGAGGUAACUUGAAAAGCAGAGCUGGAGAUAAGGAUUUGUUUAUAAGUAGUAGUUUCUGUAGGAGGUGAUCCCAGGAACUGUUU